rnacentral:piRNA from 1 species
UCCCAAAUGAUUCCACGAGUUUCCAGCGGC